CUUGGUCAUUUAGAGGAAGUAAAAGUCGUAACAAGGUUUCCGUAGGUGAACCUGCGGAAGGAUCAUUAUUGAAAUAUGAACUUGGUAGACUGUUGCUGGCUCUCUCUGAGCAUGUGCACGUUUAUCAUCUUUGUUCUUCCACCUGUGCACCUUUUGUAGGCUUUGGUAUUUGGGACUGCUGUGUUUAAAACAGAAUCGGCUUUCCCUUUUCAUUUUUCCAAGCCUAUGUUUUUCAUAUACACUUUUAUUGAAUGGAAAGCUGUACAUAUUUAUGUGUAAUAAAUCAAUACAACUUUCAGCAACGGAUCUCUUGGCUCUCGCAUCGAUGAAGAACGCAGCGAAAUGCGAUAAGUAAUGUGAAUUGCAGAAUUCAGUGAAUCAUCGAAUCUUUGAACGCACCUUGUGCUCCUUGGUACUCUGAGGAGCAUGCCUGUUUGAGUAUCAUUAAAUUAUCAACCCUGUUCUCAGUUUUGAUGAACAGUGGUUGSAUGUGGGAGGUUUUUUUGCAGGCUUUACAAAAAGAAAAAGUCGGCUCUCCUGAAAUGCAUUAGCAGUGCCUUUUGUUGGUUCUUAGGUAUGAUAAAAACUAUCUAUGCCUUUUUAUCCUUCAAACCGCAAGGUCAUGCUGCUUCUAAAGGGACUAAGAGAAAAUCUUGAUCUCAAAUCAGGCAGGACUACCCGCUGAACUUAAGCAUAUCAAUAAGCGGAGGA
rnacentral:rRNA from 1 species